GCCAGGGGUGCUGGUGCCGGAGGCGCUGGGGCUGGGCAACUGGGUGAAGGCGCAGGAGUGGGCGGCGCUCCCAGACGGGCAGGCGACGUACCUGGGCAACCCGGUGCCGUGGGGCAACCUGCCGACCAUCCUGGCGAUCGAGUUCCUGGCCAUCGCCUUCGCGGAGCAGCAGCGCACCAUGGAGAAGGACCCGGAGAAGAAGAAGUACCCCGGCGGCGCCUUCGACCCGCUCGGCUUCUCCAAGGACCCCGCCAAGUUCGAGGAGCUCAAGCUCAAGGAGAUCAAGAACGGUACGUCCCAGUCCCAUCACAUAUACCCCGUUAUCGAAUGAAGAAUCAUACGUAGAUAGAACAAGCUGACGCGUUCGUCCGUGGGGAAUGCAUUGCAGGGCGGCUGGCGAUGCUGGCGUUCGUGGGGUUCUGCGUGCAGCAGUCGGCGUACCCCGGCACCGGCCCGCUGGAGAACCUGGCCACGCACCUCGCGGACCCGUGGCACAACAACAUCGGCGACAUCGUCAUCCCCAGAAAUAUCUACGGCCCUUGAGCGGAGCCGACCGGGCUGAGAGGAGAUCGAGGAGCCGGAGCGCAUGGUUUUCAUUCAUGUUUCUGAGUCGAUCCAUUGGUUGAUCACCUUGCCACGCUGGCUCUGCGCGCGCACCGUCCGUGCGUGCUGGAACUGUACAACAACGUCGGCUCUCCGGCCGGCAACCUUUGUAAUGUGUAAAGCUUAAGUAGCGGCCGCUGUUGCGAAUGCAUCCGUGUGAUCUGUAUAAAUUCUUUGCAUGAUGAUGUGUACGGAUAGUUAUCACGUGAUCACCUUAACAUUUCAUUGAGCUUAGGACAUCCCCAACGCGGCCCACCAAACAGAAGUCAUCACAUGUCCACGGACAGUCAGACUAUCAUAAUAAAGGAUAACAUAUAAAGUAGUAACAUGAAUAUGUUACUAGUAUAAGUUAUCAUCUCUAUAAUGGAUAGUAACAUAGAGAUUUUCAUCUAUUAGUUUGGGGUCCUGAUAUUCAUCAUAGUGUGAUAUAUUAGACAUCCACACACACCGUGUAUGGCGUACACAGAAGGUAGCCCACACGAAUUGUGUGUGGGAGAAUAAUAGAACUGACCACAUGUGUGGACACAACUACUUCAUGCCACACGUCCAACAAGUAUUAUCCAUCCCCAUUUGCGUGUGUAACACGAAGUAAAUCUUGUUGGAAUUAUGCCCUAGAGGCAAUAAUAAAUGUAUAGUUAUUAUUAUAAUUCCUGUAUCAAGAUAAUAGUUUAUUAUCCAUGCUAUAAUUGUAUUGAAUGAAGACUCAUUUACAUGUGUGGAUACAUAGACAAAACACCGUCCCUAGCAUGCCUCUAGUUGGCUAGCCAGUUGAUCAAUGAUAGUCAGUGUCUUCUGAUUAUGAACAAGGUGUUGUUGCUUGAUAACUGGAUCAUGUCAUUGGGAGAAUCACNNNNNNNNNNNNNNNNNNNNNNNNNNNNNNNNNNNNNNNNNNNNNNNNNNNNNNNNNNNNNNNNNNNNNNNNNNNNNNNNNNNNNNNNNNNNNNNNNNNNAUGUGUGGAGUAAUAGUAGUAGAUGCAGAAAGUAUCGGUCUACUUGUCUCGGACGUGAUGCCUAUAUGUAUGAUCAUUGCCUUAGAUAUCAUCAUGAUUUUGCACGGUUCUAUAAAUUGCGCAACAGUAAUUUGUUCACCCAGUGUAAUAUUUUCUAUUUUGAGAGAAGCCUCUAGUGAACACUAUGGUCCCCGGGUCUACUUCACAUCACAUUUUCAGCCUUACACUUUUACUUCGUUGCUCUUUCCGCCUUCAGAUCUCAGUUUGCAAUCAAUCUUGAAGGGAUUGACAACCCCUUUAUAGCAUUGGGUGCAAGCUCGUUUGUGUUUGCGCAUGUACUCUGGACACCUGGCUUUGAUUCUCCUAGUGGAUUGAUACCUUGGUUCUCAAAACUAAGGGAAAUUCUUACUGCUCAUGUGCUGCAUCACCCUUUCCUCUUUUUUUUUGACCGGCUACUGUAGGGAAAACCCCCCACAACCUUUUUUCUUUUAUUCCCAUAUAUAAGAGAAGUAUGUACAAGGAGAAAUUAGAAUGUACAAAUGGGAAGAGGAGCUAAAGCUACAAACCUCAAGGAGGCAAAAAGGAAACCCAUUUAAGGAGACCAUCCCUGAAACUAGCCUUAAUUCUAUGAGCUAAGAGGGAAAUGUCAUGGAUGAAGCCAGAUCUCCAUUUUCUGAACUUUGGCUGCUCCUGGUUAAAGACCUUUGCAUUUCUGAUAGUCCAGAUGUUCCAACAUGCAGUGAAGACCACCUCAGCAAAGAAGGGGUUAUGGAAGUCUCUUUUAGCAGCGAUAGUAGCACUCCACAUGGAUGGACCCUGCCAUGUGAUCUACAGGUAAUUCCAGACCCUGGUACUGAAAAGACAGGUGAAGAAUAAGUGAUCUGUGUCUUCCUUGACUCGAGCAUGGCAUAGAACACAGAGAUUGGAGUCGGAAACAUUCCAGUGACGCCGUUCAAGCAUGUCUUGAGUGUUAAGCCUGUCCAUGAUGAGCAUCCAGGCAAACAUCUUAAUCUUCAUGAUACAACAGCUUUUCCACAUCCAGUUGAGUAAAGGGUUUGGUGUAAUACUGCUGUGAAUGUGAGUGUAGUAUCUCUUGGCUGUGUAGGCCUUAGCAUCUUUUCCCCAUACCCAUCUGUCAGAGGCCUGAUGAUCAAUAUCCAGGUCUUGAAGCAAAGAUUGGACUGAAAGCAGCUCCUGGUAAGCCUGAGCACACAGUGGCAAGUGGAACAUAGAGAGCAUGCUGUCAUCAUACAAGGCUGUAAAGGCCUGUUGAGCUGUGCAGAAAGGAUCAGCCACAAAAGAAAAAAGUCUUUGAAAUCUAGCAGCCAGGGGCCUAGUGGAGUUUCCAAUCAACCAGGAGUCAUACCAAAACAGGAAGGAGUCACCCUUGUUAGGCAGAACAUAUGUAACUGAUCUGAAUUUGUCAAGCCGUUUACAGAUAUCCUUCCACCAAAAAGAACCACAAAGGGCAGUUCCCUGAGGUACUGUGUCAUGAUAGUAAGUGUUCCAAAUCAAGUGAACCCAUGGGAUAUCAGCAUGAUUUAGAAAUUUAUCAACAUGCUUGAGAAGGAGUGCUUCAUUCUGGAUUGCUAGGUUCAUAAUACCUAACCCCCGUGUAUUUUUAGGUCUGCACACCAGUUGCCAGGCAGCAAGAGAGGGUGCAUGAUCUUGCCCAUUUUUCCUCCAUAGACAUUGCCUUUGAAUUCUUUCAAGCUGCUUCAGUAUGCCUGGUGGGAUAUCCAGACUGCAUAGAAAGAAGAUAUGCACCGAAGAUAGUGCUGAGUUCAAAUACUGUAACCUUCCCCCCUGAGCUAGAAAAGAUGAACUAGCACUGAGUCUUCUUUCCAUGUUAUCAACCAGUGGCAUGAGAUCAAUGAUUCUUGGUUUAGUUGUCCCAACUGGUAGGCCAAGGUAUGUGAAGGACAAAGAUCCCACUUUGCAGCCAAUGGAGUCUGCCAGGUCCUGGAGUUGCUGUGGAGGAGUGUUGACAGGUAGAAGGGCAGAUUUGUGAUAAUUCACCUGUAAUCCAGUGGAUUGGGAGAAAAGUAAGAGCAUUUUCUUGAACUGUAGGAAUUGAGGUUUAUCGGCAGGUAGGAUGAUAACGGUAUCAUCAGCAUAUUGCACUAUGGGGAAGUCCUUCUCAUGACAAGGUAUGGGCAGCUUAAUCAGACCCUCCACCAGCAGUUGGUUAACCAGAGUCUGUAAAAAAUCAGCAGCAAUUGCAAAAAGCAGUGGGGACAUGGGAUCUCCCUGCCUGACUCCUUUCUUGCACAUAAACUUCUUUCCAGGCACACCAUUGAUCAGGACCGAAGAUGAGCCAAAAGUUAGUAGCUGCUUGACCCAAAGUAUCCAUUUGUCAUUGAAGCCUUUGUGCUUGAGAAUCUGAAAAAUGAACUCAUGUUCCACAGAGUCAAAUGCCUUUUCAAUAUCCAGCUUGAGAAUGACUAUAGGUUUUUGGAUUGAUGGCAUUGGUGCAGGUACUCCAGAGUCCAUCCAACACAAUCUUGAAUGGUUCUAGACUUCAUAAAACCAUACUGAUUCUUGUGAAGACACUUCACAAUCUGCAACUGUAGCCUGUUAGCAAUCAUUUUGGACAAAAAUUUGAGACCCAUCCCAGUAAGUGAUAUUGGUCUGUAAUCUCCCACUUGUUCAGGUGAUCUCUUCUUGGGAAUCAGAGUAAUAUAAGAUGAGUUCAUGUUCUCCAGUUGAGCAUGACCAGCAUGGAAAGCAGCAGCAAGUUGAUAAAACUCAGGGGAGAUAAUGGGCUAGCAUUUCUUGAAGAAAAGACCAUUAAAACCAUCAGGACCAGGAGCUUUGUCAAUGGGCAUUUCCUAAACAGUCUUGUCCAUUUCAUACUUAGAAAAAUGUUCUGUGAGAAUAUCCAGACCCUCAACCUUAUGAAGCAUAAAUUGUAAAUCAAAUGCCAUGUUAAUACCAAGAGAAGUGCUCAUUCUAUCCUUAAAAGAUGCCCAAAAGCAUGCAGCAAUUUGAUCAUGAUCAGAUAUGAUGGAACCAUCAUAUAACUUGAGAGAUGCAAUGGAAUUCCUCCUAUAUCUCUCAGUAGCCAUAGCAUGGAAGAAUUUAGUGUUUUCUUCACCAACUUUAACAAAUCUGAUAGUGGCUCUCUUUUUCCAGUAUAAGCACUGGAGAUGCAAAAGUUGCUCCAAGUGUAACUUAACAAUUUUCCUAAAGUUAGCCUCUGGUCUGAAUAGUGUCCUCAAUUCCUCAAGCUCAUCCAAACACAACACAACUUGAUUACAUCUGGAGAUGAAAGUUUUCAACUGAGAUAGGUUUGUCUGCCACUUUUUCAGAGCCUGCCUAAGAUGUUUCAUCUUAUCCAUAAUGACAGCAGUAAUAUGGGUUUUCCUGGAAGGAAUGAGCCAGGAUUGCUGAACACACUCCAUGAAGCCCUCCAUUUCAACCCAGUACUUUUCAAAGCGGAAUAAGUUGCACUUUGGGAUGGAAGUGUUGACAGUGACCACACAAGGAACAUGAUCAGAAACUGUCUUUGCAAGGGGUAGCACUUGUGUAAGAGGAUAUGAGGAGAUCUAGUUGGCUGAUGUGAAAAACCAGUCAAGCUGCUCCAGAAGAGGGGAAUCUUGCAUAUUGGACCAAGUGAAAGAUCUGCCUUUAAUGGGUAGUUCCAGCAAUCCUAGAUGCCCAAUAAUUUCAUUGAAGAUGAACAUGUCAUUUACAUCAGCCCCAUGAAGGUUUCUGUUGUCAGGGGAUCUAAUGAAAUUAAAAUCUCCAAGAAGCAACCAAUUAGCCCCAGUGGGUAUAUGAAGAUUGUAUAGCCAGCUAACAAAAAGAUCUCUGGCUUCACCUUGACAAGGACCAUAGACAUUCACCAAAGUCCAGGAUUCACCAGUAUGAUUUGAGGUAAAGGAGAUGAUCAAGCCAUAGGGUGUGCAUUCAACUAAUUGACCAGUAAGAACGGAAGAGUUCCAAAGGGUGAUAAGCCCCCCUGAUGCCCCCCUGGAGGGAGAGUAGGCAAACUGAUCAAAGCGUUUGGGACAGAAACACUUGACUGUACAAACUCAAUUGACUGCAUUUUGGUUUCCUGCAAGCACACCAAAGCAGCUAGGCUCUCAUCAAUCUUGUUACGGACCGCAUGUUGCCUAUGGUCCGAAUUUAGGCCACGCACAUUCCAACACAGCACACGCCAACUUCUCGUAGAACGACUAUCCAUUGCACAAUAUAUAUAGAGCAAAUGCAGGGCUAUGUAAUAGCCUGUGCGACCAAGGUUCAGUUAACCAAAAGACAGAGCAAGCAGAAGUCUCACAGUACAUGGAGCCAGUACAGUAACAAAUGAACAUAAGUGAAUUAAUCAUCAGCAGACGAUGGCGCGGAUUCCNNNNNNNNNNNNNNNNNNNNNNNNNNNNNNNNNNNNNNNNNNNNNNNNNNNNNNNNNNNNNNNNNNNNNNNNNNNNNNNNNNNNNNNNNNNNNNNNNNNNNNNNNNNNNNNNNNNNNNNNNNNNNNNNNNNNNNCAGCAGGAUCUUCCAUAAGUCGAUCCACCGUUAGCUUCUCAGGGGCAAUGCCUAGUGACUGCCCAACCUCAUGUAUCACUGGAAUAUGAGUGGCAGGAGGUACUUGCACAUCAUCAAACUCCUGCGAAGGAGCAGGCAUUGGCUUGGCCUUGGGCUUCCUCUUCUUGGCGACGUGCGCUGGCAGCUCCUGCAGGAUCGGUUUGAAGCCAUCGCGCUUGAUGGAGCCGCGAGUACAUCGACGAACAGAGGAGUCGACGACAGGAGUGGCCUUCUUGCGGGUCCCUUUCUUCGUUGGAGCAGGAGAAUGAAAGGAUUAGUCCUCCGCAGAUGAAGAUGGACUGACAGGGAUUACCUCCUGCACGGAGAGUGUGCUGCUAGCAGGCUCUGGUGGUGGUAGCGCUGGAGCAGCAGGAUCGAAGGCCACCGCCCAUGAUCGCUUGGGGAUCACAAUGGGUGCCACCAUUGGCAUCUGCAGCUGGUGAGGCACGUGCAUAGAAGUAGCAGCUCCCAUGAGAGCAUCAAAAGUACGGGACCAGGAUAGAACAGGCAGCAGAGGAGGCCCGUAAACAACCCUGGCAGCCCCAACAAAGAGGUUGUCAGACUGAAUGUGAGGAGGUUUAUAUAGGGCAAUCACGAGAGGAUUGUCAUCUGGCGCCUCCUCCAUCCCAAGCACAUCCUCCUCCGAUUCAGCAUCAGGACCCUGGACAACCGGUGCCAUGUCAGCAUUAGGGGCGAGAGGGUUAGCCACUAUCACCUCCAGCUCAGGGGCCGGGGGGUCUUGAUCAGCAGGUUCCGCCUCCAUGUCACCCUGCGGCUGAGGGUCGAGGUCCACAAGCUCAUGAGCCGAGUCAGAUGAAGAAGGACUCGGUUGAUCAAUCACGAUGGACUCUUGAUCCUGAACAGGAUCAACAGCAGGUGCUUCUGGGGCCGCUUCAGGUUCCCAUCCUCCUCCAUCAGCGGCUGCCGGCGGCUGUCCCCAACCACCGUCAUCAGCAGCAGCAGUAGCAGGAACCACUGGAUCUUCAGGUGCCAGCGGCACCGCAUUCCAUCCCAACACAGGGUAUGGGGGCAGAGAAAAUUGCAGAUUGUCGUUGACGAGAUGUCCAGUAAGCGGGUGAGGGUUGCCAUUGAGGGGCAUGGGAUCCUCAUCAUUGGGCAGUAUUUCGGCAGGCGCUGCCCCCAGGAUGUAUACCGGUGCAGACCAAGACACCUUGGCCCCCCCCCCCAAGCAGUAUAUUCAGAGAAGUUGAUACUGCGAGGGAGAAGUCGGUCGUCUGGGAACGAAGCAAACACAAUGGAGCGAACCAAGUAAGGAUCAUCACUGACCCAAUGAUGGAACUCUCCGAAGGUGUUGACAGCAGCCCGCAAGUCUUCCGUAUUGCGGAAGUCGAGGGGGACCCCUAGCAGCAUGAGGCACCCAUGGCGAAAACCCUCUUGCCCACGGAAACCAACUCCCUGAUCAUGUCACAGGAAGCGCACCACAGAGUUAUGAGCGACUUCCUGCGGAACCAUGUGAACCGCAGCGUAGCUCUCCGCCACAUCUCUGAGUUCAAACAGUCCAACGCCCUCAAUCCAUGGCUGGGAAGAUCGAACAUGCAACCCUCGGUGAAGAAGAAGAGCAGCUACUUCUUGCCGUACCUGGACCAAGUGGUCAGCCGGGGGCGCAGGGUGGAUGUCAGCGAUUACGAAGCGCUCAUGACGCCUGGUGAUGGGGACCGCAGGCGUGGUGUAGGUCCCAGGCAGCCGGUCAGGUCCUCCGUCGAUGAUGUUGUGGCCCGGCGGGAGAAAGAACUCAGGAUCAAGCUCGAAGUUCACUAUUGUGGGAGGCGGUGGCGGAGUGGCAGGCGGCGUCUCGGAGGGAGUUCGAGGAUGCGACGGCGAUGAGACAGGACGGAACUGUGCUGCAGGCGUUGCGGUUUCGCCAAGAGUAUCACAGUUCCCAAGAUAUCAGCGAUAGGGGAGCUGGUGGGUCUCUUACAGUUCCAAGUAAGACAAUUAUUACGCAUAAAAGAGGCUCCUCUAGAUCGUGCGUGACCCACAGUUCUAUCAGCAAAUCCAGGCGAAGCCGUGCAGUUGGCAGCUAGAUGUCCCCGAGCGUUCAAAUCGAGCAAGAAAAGAUUUCCUCAACCAUGCCAUUAAUAAGUUCAUCAAAGGCCAGAUGGUCUUCCUGCGAGGAGGGAAUAUCCAUCCUAGGAUUAGGUUUGGGCCGAGAGAAGGAGGUAACCUCAACAGGCUCAUUAAUGAGCAUGGAAAUCGGUCCAGAGUCCAAACUUACCACCGAAAAUUGAUUCUCAUAAUUCAAAAUACCAUGAAUCUCGGCGGGAUCACCUGCAGCACCUUGUUGCACGGGAGAAGUUCCGUUUAAUUUGGCAAUUUGUAAAUCAGCUCCAGGAGAUCCGGGGGGUGAAUCUUGGCGAGAAACUGUGCCGAACGUGAUAUGCGGCGUGGUUGUCGUCCACCGGAGUUCUGCCGGCGGUGGCGCAGAGAUGAUGACACGUUCAGGAGAGGGCACCGAAUAACCAGCCUGUUCAAGCGUGAGUAGCUCAUCGUGGGAAACAGGACAUCUAUAACCCUUGCAAACCUCAUAUUGCUGGAGGGAUGCGAAUGUGAGCUUCUUACGAACAGAUGAUCCAGAUUUAAGAGAAGAUUUUAGAGGUCUGGAAUGCAUCGCCAUCAGACCUAGUGAGGCUCUCCGCUUAGAUGGACUCACAAUAAUCCAUUCAGCAUCACAUUGCUUCUUCCACAGAGCGAAUUCCCGACGCCAAUUCGGACCACAAUGGCCCCAUAGAUGGAAAAAGCACUUAAAACUUGAGCAUUUGAACGAGCGAAAGUCCAAAAUAUGAAAACCAACUUGCAUGCAUGACACUUUGAAGGAGAAAACCGAGUCUGUCACUUGAGAGACGCGAAACUCAAUAGCAGAUCCCCCAAUCACAGAUUCCAGAGCUGCCGCGACUGUGUCCUUAGAGAGACGGAACACAUGAAGACCAAAAGAAACCACCAUGAUGAAGGAGCGGCGGUGCUUCAUAGGGUGCACCGUAACACCAGAGUGACGAUAAACUCAUCGGCGAAUGCCAAACCAUGAGAAAAAUCCAGAUCCAACAUGGAACCACCCAUGCAAGCCAUGCACGACCAUGUGGGGGGGGGGGGUCGGGAGGGUUCACCUGAGCAGAGGAGCGGCGAGGAGGGUGGAUACGCCGGCUAGAGCACCAGAUCGCCAUUGGGUCGCCGCGGUGGGAGGUGGGAGGUGGGAGUCGCCAUCCGUCUCUUCAUUUCCAUCUUCACCCUUUCCUCCUCAAGGGAAAAACCAACGCAAGCUCAAGAGGCAGCAUCCCUCUCGUCGCCCUGGUGCUCACGUCGCCCCGCCCCGGCCUCCUGCACCACCUGCCGGUGCCGGCCACCAUGCCAGGGGCCCCCCUCCCCUCACAGCGCCGCCGUCACCCUUCUCCAGUGCCGGCCCAGGGCCCUCCAACGCGCCGGAUCCGCCCCGCCUCCGGCCACCUCGACACCGACAAUGCUCCGAGCCACCACAUCCACCGGCC
rnacentral:lncRNA from 1 species